CCCUUAGAUGUCCUGGGCCGCACGCGCGUUACACUGAUGCAUUCAACGAGCUUAUAACCUUGGCCGAGAGGCCUGGGCAAUCUUGUUAACGUGCAUCGUGAUAGGGAUAGAUUAUUGAAAUUAUUAAUCUUGAACGAGGAAUUCCUAGUAAACGCAGAUCAUCAAUCUGCAUUGAUUACGCCCCUGCCCUUUGUACACACCGCCCGUCGCUACUACUGAUUGGACGUUUAAGCAAGAUUUUUAAACACUGACAGUGUGUAGUUCACGCUAUACUACAGUGAGAAGAAGAAGAUCGAGCUUACUUGUCUAGAGGAAGUAAAAGUCGUAACA
rnacentral:rRNA from 1 species